rnacentral:rRNA from 1 species
UGUUGUUAGUACUAACCAGGAUCCUUAGUACGGCGAGUGAACAGGGAUUAGCCCAGCACCGAAGUCUGGGUGAUUGGGCGUUGGACAAUGUGGUGUUUAGGUUGGAUUAUCCUUACUUCGCUCCGUUUAAAGUCCAUUCUUGAAUAUGGCUAAUAGUUUGGCCCAAAGAGGGUGAAAGGCCCGUGUGGAUGGUGUGUUGUAUGAUUUUGUUAACUGAAGAGUCGGGUUGUUUGAGAACGCAGCCCAAAGUUGGUGGUAAACUCCAUCUAAGGCUAAAUACUGGCACGAGUCCGAUAGCGAACAAGUACCGUGAGUUAAAGUUGAAAAGUACUCUGAAGAGA